rnacentral:lncRNA from 1 species
AUGUGCAGUUUCGUGGAGAUCUGGUUGUAUCUUGCAACUGACCAUUGCGGUGGCACUUUGAUGAACCAGCCUGGACACAGGAUAUUAUUUGAGAACACAAAAAUGCUGGACCAUUCCAACAACUAUCAUGUCAGACUACACAGAGAAGCCAUUGAAAUCCACACGCAUGUGGACAAUUUCAACAGAAAGGAAGAAACCAUGAAAAUGAACAAAAUCUGGCUACCAGUAUUACAAAACUCCAAAAUCAAAACAGUAGAUGGGAACCAAAACUCUGAGGGCUUGACUGACAAAGGAUGCCCCCAGGCAAGAGACAAAAACAUCUCCAAUGCUGAUUAGGAUGAUUAACUGAAACAUUAAUGCUGGCUCCCAGUGACAAAGGACCCUUGCCACACCCCAGACUCUACACAGAUAUAUAUAUUCUUUCCUUUCCUUACUUAGUUUAUCCAUACCUCACAACCUCUGAGGAUGCCUGCCAUAGAUGUGGGCGAAAUGUUAGGAGAGAAUGCUUCUGGAACAUGGCCACACAGCCCGAAAGACAUACAACAACCCUGUGAUCCCGGCCAUGAAAGCCUUCGACAUUUUAUAGUUAUAUUAUAAUGUAUAUCUAUUGUUAUUAAUUCACAUUGUUUUAUAUCAAUUGUUACCUUUUUUGAAUCCGAUAUCAGGAGAAAUGUGGGAUAAAAAGUAAAUAAAUAAACCAAUAAUUAAUAAUUUAGGCCCAGUCAGCAUUCCAAAUAGGCAGAGAUGAUAACCGCUGGAGCUCCGCAAUGACUAGAUUUUAAACUGGGGAGCAACAAUGUAAUAAAAUAUUAAAACAUCAUUAAGAAUACAGCUAAAAUCCUCAUCUUAAAUCCAAUCACUGUCAAAUUGAAUGAAAGUAGAACAACUGAACCAAUUGUUGAAUGGCAAGUCAACAGUUAUACUAAUUCAAUGCAUCUACAGUUGUUAGAAAUUAGCAAUAGGUUUAGGAUCAAAAAAUUCUUUUCAGAGAGUAUUUCCUAAUAAUUUCUAAAGCAUUUCCUAUCUGGUGGAUAAAAUAAGGAACAAUCACUACAUCCUAAAAACUUAUAACUAUCCCUAGAAAAUGGACAUUCCCUUUAAAUAAGGGACAUCUGGCAACCCUAACAUGGAAUUAGCAGUCCCUAAUGGACAGACUUCCUUCCUUUAGCAAAGCUAAAUAGAGAGUUGAAACCAUCCCUUGAUGAACUCUCCUGUUCUAGGUCAGAAAGAUUUAUAUAACCCAAGCUCUGACAUGAUUAGUCUCAUCUGGAUGAGCUCCUACAAAAUUAAAUUAACCCCACAUGAGCCAAACAGAGGAACAUUCCUUUCAACAACCCAGCAUUUGGUUACAAAAUGAGUCUUCCCCAAGAGCUAAUUUAUUAUGUACGAUUCCAUGUUCCCAAAAAUUACAAUCAAAACACUAAUGUGAGGGGUUACUCAAUUUCUUGGGGUAGGAAUUUAAGUACCACAUUCAAAUACCAUAUAAUCCCUAGGAACAGAAUUUUGUUUUAUCAUGUCGGAAGCAACUUGAGAACAUACUGCAAGUUGCUUCUGGUGUGAGAGAAUUGGCCAACUACAGAGACGUUACCCAGGGGACGCCUGAAUGUGUUAGCUGGGAGGCUUCUCUCAUGUCCCCUCAAGCUAGAGCUGACAGACGGGAGCUCAACCCGUCUCAUGGAUUUGAACUGUUGGGUCAGCAACCCAACCUUCAGGUCAGCAGUUUAGCUGACAGAAGAGUUUAACCCAUUGUGCCACUGCAGCUCCCAGAACAGAAAUUGAAAUAGCAAGAGAAAAAAAGGUUUUACUCUAUGACUAUCAAGGUCCCUUCAUGCAUGUUUCCUGAACCAGAAUGCAUAUAUUGAGACAAAGUUGGAACCCCACUGAAAUGUUAAUUAGGUUUUCUUAAAUUAUUUAUAUUCUACUUUUCUCCAAAGGUUGAGACAUUCCACAUGAUCAACAGACAUUUGCCAAAAGUCUAAGCAUGUAGGCUUUCAUUCUUCAAACAUUCACAAAGUGGGUGCAUGGAAAAGAAACCAAUCAAUUUUAAGGAGCUGUUGGCAAAGCCCUUUGGCUGAGUCAAUAAAUGGAUCUUUACCACACAGUUAAAUGAGUAGAAAUAUUUUGUGAUUAAUAUGCCAUCUGAUCGGAAGUAUAUUUGCCUAGAAACAAGUUUAAACAUAUUCAAUAAGGUUUAUUUUAAAGCAUGUAUAACAAUGCAAAUCUAUAGUUUUUGAGAUGUGCAUAAUGUGCUUUAACACCCCACAAACUUUUGAAGGAAAUUAAUAUUCCUAUUUCUAGAGAGAGGGGACUAUUGAAGAGUGAAUGAAGAGGCUGCACAAGGACUUGCGUUCCAUCUCAUCUAUAAGGUAAAGCUAAAGGUUUCCCCUGAUGUUAAGUCCAGUCAUGUCUGACUCUGGGGGUUGGUGCUCAUCUUCAUUUCUAAGCCGAAGAUCCGGCAUUGUCCGUAGACACCUCCAAGGUCAUGUGGCCUCCAUGACUGCAUGGAGCGCUGUUAUCUUCCUGCUGGAGCAGUACCUAUUGAUCUACUCACAUUGGCAUGUUUUCGAACUGCUAGGUUGGCAGGAGCUGGAGCUAACAGCAGCCGCUCACGCUGCUCCCGGGGUUUGAACCUGGGACCUUUCAGUCUGCAAGUUCAGCAGCUCAGCGCUUUAACACACUUCUCCACCGGGGCUCCUUAUCUCAUCUGUAGUUCACAACAUAUUGGUUUACAUUGCCCAUCACUUUGUGAUGAGAAUUUAGGAUAUCAAUGCAGAGGAGUUUUCUCCCUCUGUGUAGAGCAGUGGGCUCUUAGGAUUGAAUCUUUCUAGAUUGAUCCAUUCAAGAUAGAUAUUGCAAACUUGGAUAGGGCUGCAUUUGAUGGAACACCACCCAAAGUAUGUCUUCAUUCUUGGACUUUAUCCCCUCAUUUCCAGAUCUUAUCCCAGCUUUCUUAGAAAUAUUUAUAUAUCAGUUACAUAAAUAUAUGACAAAUAGAUCUAUCUUCCUUAUGUUGUGUAUAUGUGAGUUGUUCUCAUAAUUAUGUGCCUUCAAGCCAUUGGAUUCCUCUGAGGUAGAGAGAGCAUGAUUUGUUCAAUUUCACCCAAUGAGUCUCCAUCUACCAAACAAAUGAAGAAGCUAGUCAUUGAUUGAACAAUAUACCUUACUGCAUCAUCAGAAAAGUUCAUUUUUUUCUUUUGUGGUAUUGUAGAUUCUUCUGAAAGACAAGUAAUGGUUAUUUAUAAACAAACACAUAUAAAAAAACAAACAAACAUAUAAAGCCUGUUUUACAGAUAACUACUGUACUUAUUUUUGGGAUUGUGUUGAAUUUCUGUGAGUUGGAAUUUUAUGGCAUUGCUUCAACUUAACCCUCUCUCAGAAAUCUCUCGCUCUCAUAGUAUAUUAAAUACUAAGUUUAAUUUUUAAAAUGAAAAGGGAUCUAGGGGAGAUAUCUCAAAGGGACUAUAAGCUAGGCUGGAGGUAUCUCCCCUACAGGCAUUCAACUCCCCCUUCCAUCGGCAACUAGCCAGAGUUUAGUUUAGGUCAAAAGAAGACUGCUGAUCUGGAAAUAAUAGUACAUUCCAGAAAGGCCCAGCUGUC